GACGAACGCUGGCGGCGUGCUUAACACAUGCAAGUCGAACGAAGUGGCGAACGGGUGAGUAACGCGUAAUCAACCUGCCCUUCAGAGGGGGACAACAGUUGGAAACGACUGCUAAUACCGCAUACUGAAGGAGGGGACUGCGUCUGAUUAGCUAGUUGGAGGGGUAACGGCCCACCAAGGCGAUGAUCAGUAGCCGGUCUGUGAGGAUGAACGGCCACCUUGGGACGGAUGAACGGCACAGUAUCCUACGGGAGGCAGCAGGGGGGAAUCUUCCGCAAUGGACGAAAGUCUGACGGAGCAACGCCGCGUGAGUGAUGACGGCCUUCAGGUUGUAAAGCUCUGUUAAUCGGGACGCGGUACCGGAAUAGAAAGCCACUGCUAACUACGUGCCAGCAGCCGCGGUAAUUC
rnacentral:rRNA from 1 species